rnacentral:rRNA from 1 species
UUAAAAAGCUCGUAGUUGGAUCUCGGCGAGUAGGGGGCGGUUCGUUGUUUGACGGUACUGCCCCAUUUACUCGUGUUUUUGACAGAGGGUUGGAGGUCCCCUUUAUUGGGUGUCUUCGGUCACUGUCAGGUUUACUUUGAAAAAAUUAGAGUGCUCAAAGCAUGCUGUUUAUGCAUGAAUACUAGUGCAUGGAAUAAUAGAAUAGGAAGUCGUUUCUAUUUUGUUGGUUUUCGGAAAAUGACUUAAUGAUUAAUAGGGACAAUCGGGGGCAUUAGUAUUCAAACGACAGAGGUGAAAUUCUUGGACCGUUUGAAGACUAACUACUGCGAAAGCAUUUGCCAAGAGUGUUUUCAUUAAUCAAGAACGAAAGUUAGAGGUUCGAAGGCGAUCAGAUACCGCCCUAGUUCUAACCAUAAACGAUGCCAGCUAGCGAUCUGCGGGUGUGUAUUUCCAAGACCCCGCAGGGAGCUUCCGGGAAACCAAAGCUUGUGGGUUCCGGGGGAAGUAUGGUUGCAAAGCUGAAACUUAAAGGAAUUGACGGAAGGGCACCACCAGGAGUGGAGCCUGCGGCUAAAUUCGACUCACACGGGAAAUCUCACCAGGCCCGGACCCUGGAAGGAUUGAC